AAUCCGUGCAGCAGCCGCGGUAUACGGAGGAUUGAGCUUAUCCGGAUUAUGGGUUUAAAGGUGCGUAGGUUGUUUUCAUUAAUUUAGUCGUUAAAGAGUUGGGCUUAACCUAAUCAUGGCGAUUGAUACUGUGGACUAGAGAUUGGUUGCGGUAGGCGGAAUGAGUAGUGUAGCGGUGAAAUGCUUAGAUAUUACUCAGAACACCGAUUGCGAAGGCAGCUUACCAAGCCAUAUCUGACACUGAGGCACGAAAGCGUGGGGAUCAAACAGGAUUAGAUACCCUGGUAGUCCACGCUGUAAACGAUGCUAACUCGUUGCUGGCGAUAUGAUAGUUCAGUGACUAAGGGAAACCGAUAAGUUAGCCACCUGGGGAGUACGACCGCAAGGUUGAAACUCAAAGGAAUUGACGGGGGCCCGCACAAGCGGAGGAACAUGUGGUUUAAUUCGAUGAUACGCGAGGAACCUUACCCAGGCUUGAAAGUUAGUGACGAACCUUGAAAGGGGUUUUUCCUUCGGGACACGAAACUAGGUGCUGCAUGGUUGUCGUCAGCUCGUGCCGUGAGGUGUCGGGUUAAGUCCCAUAACGAGCGCAACCCUUGUCGUUAGUUGCAAACAGGUAAGGCUGUGGACUCUAGCGAGACUGCCGGUGUAAACCGUGAGGAAGGUGGGGAUGACGUCAAAUCAGCACGGCCCUUACGUCUGGGGCGACACACGUGUUACAAUGGUCGGUACAGAGAGUUGCGACAUAGCGAUAUGGAGCUAAUCUCAAAAAGCCGAUCUCAGUUCGGAUCGCAGGCUGAAACUCGCCUGCGUGAAGUUGGAUUCGCUAGUAAUCGCACAUCAGCCAUGGUGCGGUGAAUACGUUCCCGGGCCUUGUACACACCGCCCGUCAAGCCAUGGAAGUUUGGGGUGCCUGAAGUACGUGACCGUAAAAGGAGCGUCCUAGGGCAAAACAGAUAACUAGGGCU
rnacentral:rRNA from 1 species